GAAAGGCUUUGCUGUGUUUCCUCUGCAGAGAAAGUGCCCAGGUAACAGAGAUGACUCAAAAUCAUGUACAUUAGCAGUCAGAUCAGACAAACCAAAGCCUCACGGUGUGCCCACGUCGGAACUCCUUCUCCUAGCAUUUUUCUGGGUCAGCCUGGAUUGAGACACACUGGCCUUUAGAACUUGAAUAAAAUGCCGUUUCACUCAUUGCCAUCUUCGAUAGUUGGUAGAAGGUGAUUGCAGUUCCAAGUGGUGUCACCAUUUUAGUGAGUGCAUUGUGAAGGGAUAAGUAAGCAGAGAUGCAAAACCUCUUCCACUUCUUUUCCAUGAAGCACAGCUUUCAGAAGAAUUGAACUAUAGUAAAUGGCAGAGAGUCUAGCACAAUUAAGUAUUUCUAAACCAGGACUGAAAAUGAAGAAAUGAUCACCAUAGAGGAAACAAAAUCAGAGAGGAUAGGAAACCUGUCCAAAGUCAUAUGGCUGAUAAGAGGCAGAGUGAAGACUGGACCUGAGCAAGUUUGGUGUAGAAGCCUGUGCUCUUAACUGCCAUCCUAGAUUCUUUCUUAAGACUUCUUCUGAGGAUCAGCCUCAUACAAAAGGGUAAUGGUGGCAGCAGCUCCAGAACUCAUAUCAUAUCCUCCCAUGUUAAAGUCAAAUGAGAAAAGUCUGUCUUCGCCCCAGGAUUCCCAGCGAUGCCUCCUGAUGUGUCAUUGGCUCGGAUUGCAUCAUGUGCCCUCCGUGGACUUUGUCCAGAUGAAUGUUUUAGAUUCCUUGUCCCCAGUUACCUCAUCUUUAAAAUGAAGACAAGACUCAGAGUUGGCUUUCCAGGAACUGAAGACACAUUUUGUAGAAGUUGAUGGAUUAAGAAAAAGAAGUUGCAUUUUAUUACCUAUCCUAAAGAUAGAAGGUUCCUCGCAUGACUGACAGCUUAGAAGCCAGAGGUCAAGGGAGCCUAUCGAUCAAUGCACUCCACGCAAAUAUGUCCCAGGAGCAGGAUAGAACAAGGUGUAAAAGGGUGGGACUCUAUCUAGAGGGGCAAAAUGAAGAUAUCGAACACAUUGACAUGAAUAAAAUAUGUACAAUGUCAUUAUAAUGUGUCAAAUUUGCACAGAAAAAUAAUCAUAAAAUAUUUAAUGUCAUAGUCAACUACUGGUGGUGUUUUAUGCCAGCUGCACUUUAGCUGGUUAACUGGAGGAUUUGAGUGAAAAUACUUCUUUUUUUUUUUUUUUUAAGAGAGAGAGAGGUUCAGGAAACAUCUGAAGGGGAAUGGGCAAGUGAUGCCUGAACGGUACUGGCAGAAGAUAAAUGGUAUGUUAUUUUAAGCCAAUAGAAAGCUUAAUCCCAUGAGGGAAACUCUGGGAAAUGUACACCAUAUGAGUCAGAAUUACUCCAAGAAUGAGGGAGCUAGGACACUUAGCUUCCUGAACCAUUGGGUGUGAUCUGCCCCUGUAGGCAAAGGGCCUUCCUAGGAUCUAGAAAAAAAGACUCCAGGCAGCUAGAUGUAGAUACUGGCCAUUGGAUGUUUGUCAAAGCAAAAGAAAGAUCUGAAGGGUAAGGGAAGGACAUUGUUGGUGUCUAUACUUUUGGCCAAUAUGCCACAAGUACAAAUGCACCAGUUACAGUGUUAAGCAUGACUGCUUGAAUUUACAACCAGCUUUUGAGGAUAUGGAUAUGGAAGGUGUUCUUAAAAGUCCCAUCUUAUUGUCGUGACAGCAAAGAUCAUUAUAUAAGUCUGUUAUUAUUUCAGGCAAUUAAAAAACUGUCUCGUAAUUAUUUGAGUCACAUUUCUUUUUAAUAUUUUUGACAGUCUGUAAUUUUAGAAUAACACUCUCAAAUACAUCAUUUGCCAUAUUUUAACACAUUGGAGUUACAUAAUCUGUGUAUCAGUGUACCAGAGUGAAUUUGGUUUUGUGAAGACCUCAGAAGAAAAGCUUACCUGCAAUCUCCAUGUCUAAACUUGAAUAGAUUAAAAUGUUCCCUUGAUUAGGA
rnacentral:lncRNA from 1 species